CUGGAAAGCUGGUAGCAGUUCAUUCUGAAACCUUUCUGGUGGAUUUACAGGUGUACUGUAGUUUGCUCAAAAGUGGUAGUGUCACUGCAAUUCACAGGAUCUAGCCAGGAUUCACUGAGGUACAUGGCUAGAGCCCUGGAGGAAGAGAGUUGGGAUUAUUGAAGAAACAAGAGGAAAGGUCUUUUUGAGGACUCCAAUCUGAUUAAAUGUUAGGAACCAGAAAGGUUCUAAACUUGAAGUUCUCUAUGCGUGCACAUGGUGCCACAUGACCCAGGUUAAAUGUCAGCAUUGUGGCAGCCAGCUUCCUCUGAGGGACCUCUACUAAUGAUAGCUAUUGAUCCAGUGCUCAGCGCAGCUCCAAGGCAAGACCAGCUUCAAUGCUUUUCCCUUCUGCUGCCCUCUCAUUUAUAUUGAAGCUGCCUUCAGACAUGGCUCUCACCCUUGGGGACGGAACCUACUUAUUGGUGAAGUACCCUGUGCAUUCAUUUAUCAGAUUUUACUGCUACAUUUUUAUUGCAUGUCUGUAGCUAGAACUUUCCACAAGAAGAAAUCUUUAAUAUGACAUGAAAAUAUCCACAGGCACCAUUAAUAUUACUUCAGAUGUGAAGAUCUCACCCAUCAGUAGUACAAUGCUGUGUAGAGAAAAAGUGCUUCUGUGCUCAACAUGGGGUAACUUUUAUUAGCUGAAGGAAGUUUUAGAGUGCUAUUACAAAAUAACAACUGUCUGGUUAUGCUGUGCAGUCUCUCAGUAUGUCUGUUGAUUACCAUACUAUUAGAAUAUCAAAAAAUUCACUUCAAAAAUAUUUUUAUAAUUGGAAAUUAAAAUGUGAUAAAUUUGUAUUUUUGAAUAUUAUUAUGAAAAAACUCAAUUUGAUAUCUGGCUUUUAAGGAAAUUAGAGUGCUACUAAGUAAACCUUUAGGCUUUGAUUCUUCAUUUUAUGGAGACCAUUAAAAUUGAAGUAAAAGUGAUGCACAGUAUCUGUGAAAUGCCUUGCCUCAAAUUUUCAAAGCAUUGUGUUGUCUGUGGAUACUAUUUAUUAUGCAUAUCUAAAGAAAUGUGUACGUAAUGGGUUUAAAUAAAGACUGGAGAAAUGAAUGGCAAAACCCACACAAAUCCACCAUGUGUUCAGGUGUCUCUGUCCCUCAGUAGCAAAUACAGGGAGGCUCGAGGGUGCCUGGGAAAGUAGCACUGUGUUCUGCUGCUGGCUGCAGCCAGAGCAGGACAGGACUAGAUGGACCUGUGCUGUAAGUGCUGGCAUCCUUGCUCUA